ACUUUGGGACGCGGAGGGACAUUACCGAGUUAUUCAACUCAUCAACCCUGUGAACUUACCUAAACGUUGCUUCGGCGGGAACAGACGGCCCCGCAAAACGGGCCGCCCCCGCCAGAGGACCCCUAACUCUKUUUCUAUAAUGUUUCUUCUGAGUAAAACAAGCAAAUAAAUUAAAACUUUCAACAACGGAUCUCUUGGCUCUGGCAUCGAUGAAGAACGCAGCGAAAUGCGAUAAGUAAUGUGAAUUGCAGAAUUCAGUGAAUCAUCGAAUCUUUGAACGCACAUUGCGCCCGCCAGUAUUCUGGCGGGCAUGCCUGUUCGAGCGUCAUUACAACCCUCAGGCCCCCGGGCCUGGCGUUGGGGAUCGGCGGAGCCCCCCGUGGGCACACGCCGUCCCCCCAAAUACAGUGGCGGUCCCGCCGCAGCUUCCAUCGCGUAGUAGCUAACACCUCGCGACUGGAGAGCGGUGCGGCCACGCCGUAAAACACCCCAACUCUUCUGAAGUUGACCUCGAAUCAGGUAGGAAUACCCGCUGAACUUAAGCAUAUCAAUAAGCGGAGGAAAAGAAACCAACAGGGAUUGCCCCAGUAACGGCGAGUGAAGCGGCAACAGCUCAAAUUUGAAAUCUGGCUCUCGGGCCCGAGUUGUAAUUUGUAGAGGAUGCUUUUGGUGAGGUGCCUUCCGAGUUCCCUGGAACGGGACGCCAUAGAGGGUGAGAGCCCCGUCUGGUUGGACGCCGAACCUCUGUAAAGCUCCUUCGACGAGUCGAGUAGUUUGGGAAUGCUGCUCUAAAUGGGAGGUAUAUGUCUUCUAAAGCUAAAUACCGGCCAGAGACCGAUAGCGCACAAGUAGAGUGAUCGAAAGAUGAAAAGAACUUUGAAAAGAGAGUUAAACAGUACGUGAAAUUGUUGAAAGGGAAGCGCUUGUGACCAGACUUGGGCUUGGUUGAUCAUCCGGGGUUCUCCCCGGUGCACUCUUCCGGCCCAGGCCAGCAUCAGUUCGCCCUGGGGGACAAAGGCAUCGGGAACGUGGCUCUCUCUCGGGAGUGUUAUAGCCCGUUGCGUAAUACCCUGUGGCGGACUGAGGUUCGCGCAUCGCAAGGAUGCUGCGAAGACCCCGGGAU
rnacentral:rRNA from 1 species